GGAAAAAGAAGGAUGGGUGAGGGAUGGACCCAAGCCUCUCAGCAGCCUGAGGGGAACGAGCAGCCAUGGUGGCGGCUUCAGCAGCAAGGAAGAGCCCAGUCAACCACUGCUGCUGUUUGGGGCUACCGAGGCCAUUGGUGGAGGCAGGCAAGGGACAGGCCUGGCCCUGUCAGUGGGCUGAGGGGAACGGCGGUGGCGGCAGCAGCAAGGAAGGGCCCGGUCAACCGCUGCUGCUCCUGUGCAGAGCAGGAGCGGGGCUCAGGAGAGGUUGGGGAGGUCUCUGGGGAUAGGGGGCUGUAACUUGGCCAAUAGGCACUAGCAACACUGCAGCCGCGACCAAGAGGGAUGAGGGGGAUGGAAGCAACCAAAUGGAGGAGGAGCAGGAGCACGGCUCAGGGCAGGUUUACUGGAGGCCACCAGUAUGAAGAGCUGGCUCUUCAUAUCCUUCCAUCCUAAAGGAGCAGCCACACCAUUAAGAGGAGAUGAUAUACAUUGGGGCUGAGCAGCUGCCUGUCCCACAGGGUCAGGAGAUGAGGUGAGCAGGGAUAUAGAUGCUUGAAGACUGUGCCCCUUGUGAUGGAAGCCUCCUUUUCCUUGACAGAAUAAUAAGCAAACAGGUCUUAGCCUGCUGCCUAUAGGGAAAUGCGUUUUGUUAUGGAAGGAGCGCCCUGCACUAAAACAACAAACAGAAGAAUGGCUGUGUUUGUUUUUCCAUGUGCUGGAGAUGCAAAUUAUCCUCUGAGAACAGUGGCUUCCUCUUCAAGUAUGUCCAAGAAUGCUUCAGAUAAUCCUUACUCUUGAAGUUCUUGGGUGUCAGAAAAAUCUCACCCAUCAACUUCUCAGAUGUCAACAGUAAGCAGCAGAAGAGUUCUGGCAGUGAUCUGCUGAUCCAAGGGUGAUGUCAUGAUUGAGGCUCCCAUAGCAAAAGAUCUGCACCGUUUUGUUGUUGUUCAAGUGUUUGUUUAUGUAUUGUUCAGUCUUCAUACUGUCUUUCAUAAAGCAUCCCAAGGUGGCUUGCAAACGUUUACAACAAAACUCCAUAAAAAUAAUUUAAAAUC